GAUGAACGCUGGCGGCGUGCCUAAUACAUGCAAGUCGAGCGAACAGACGAGGAGCUUGCUCCACUGACGUUAGCGGCGGACGGGUGAGUAACACGUGGAUAACCUACCUAUAAGACUGGGAUAACUUCGGGAAACCGGAGCUAAUACCGGAUAAUAUAUUGAACCGCAGGGUUCAAUAGUGAAAGACGGUUUUGCUGUCACUUAUAGAUGGAUCCGCGCCGCAUUAGCUAGUUGGUAAGGUAACGGCUUACCAAGGCAACGAUGCGUAGCCGACCUGAGAGGAUGAUCAGCCACACUGGAACUGAGACACGGUCCAGACUCCUACGGGAGGCAGCAGUAGGGAAUCUUCCGCAAUGGGCGAAAGCCUGACGGAGCAACGCCGCGUGCAUGAUGAAGGUCUUCGGAUCGUAAAACUCUGUUAUUAGGGAAGAACAAAUGUGUAAUUAACUAGGCACGUCUUGACGGUACCUAAUCAGAAAGCCCCGGCUAACUACGUG
rnacentral:rRNA from 1 species